rnacentral:rRNA from 1 species
GAUGAACGCUGGCGGCGUGCCUAAUACAUGCAAGUCGAGCGAACGGACGUGAAGCUUGCUUCUCUGAUGUUAGCGGCGGACGGGUGAGUAACACGUGGAUAACCUACCUAUAAGACUGGGAUAACUUCGGGAAACCGGAGCUAAUACCGGAUAAUAUUUUGAACCGCAUGGUUCAAAAGUGAAAGACGGUCUUGCUGUCACUUAUAGAUGGAUCCGCGCUGCAUUAGCUAGUUGGUAAGGUAACGGCUUACCAAGGCAACGAUGCAUAGCCGACCUGAGAGGGUGAUCGGCCACACUGGAACUGAGACACGGUCCAGACUCCUACGGGAGGCAGCAGUAGGGAAUCUUCCGCAAUGGGCGAAAGCCUGACGGAGCAACGCCGCGUGAGUGAUGAAGGUCUUCGGAUCGUAAAACUCUGUUAUUAGGGAAGAACAUAUGUGUAAGUAACUGUGCACAUCUUGACGGUACCUAAUCAGAAAGCCACGGCUAACUACGUGCCAGCAGCCGCGGUAAUACGUAGGUGGCAAGCGUUAUCCGGAAUUAUUGGGCGUAAAGCGCGCGUAGGCGGUUUUUUAAGUCUGAUGUGAAAGCCCACGGCUCAACCGUGGAGGGUCAUUGGAAACUGGAAAACUUGAGUGCAGAAGAGGAAAGUGGAAUUCCAUGUGUAGCGGUGAAAUGCGCAGAGAUAUGGAGGAACACCAGUGGCGAAGGCGACUUUCUGGUCUGUAACUGACGCUGAUGUGCGAAAGCGUGGGGAUCAAACAGGAUUAGAUACCCUGGUAGUCCACGCCGUAAACGAUGAGUGCUAAGUGUUAGGGGGUUUCCGCCCCUUAGUGCUGCAGCUAACGCAUUAAGCACUCCGCCUGGGGAGUACGACCGCAAGGUUGAAACCCAAAGGAAUUGACGGGGACCCGCACAAGCGGUGGAGCAUGUGGUUUAAUUCGAAGCAACGCGAAGAACCUUACCAAAUCUUGACAUCCUUUGACAACUCUAGAGAUAGAGCCUUCCCCUUCGGGGGACAAAGUGACAGGUGGUGCAUGGUUGUCGUCAGCUCGUGUCGUGAGAUGUUGGGUUAAGUCCCGCAACGAGCGCAACCCUUAAGCUUAGUUGCCAUCAUUAAGUUGGGCACUCUAAGUUGACUGCCGGUGACAAACCGGAGGAAGGUGGGGAUGACGUCAAAUCAUCAUGCCCCUUAUGAUUUGGGCUACACACGUGCUACAAUGGACAAUACAAAGGGCAGCGAAACCGCGAGGUCAAGCAAAUCCCAUAAAGUUGUUCUCAGUUCGGAUUGUAGUCUGCAACUCGACUACAUGAAGCUGGAAUCGCUAGUAAUCGUAGAUCAGCAUGCUACGGUGAAUACGUUCCCGGGUCU